CCAUGGUAGUAUGUUUUGUGUCUUAGGCCUAAUUAGACUAAUUAGAUUCAGGUGUGGCGCACAGCGAGGUCUCUGGAUUUUGACCGAGUCAGGUUCAUGCUGGUGAUGUUUACUUGAAAAUAUUUAACCUACUUUUGUUAUAGUGUGAAAGUUAAUCGAAUGAUAUAUCUGCAAACUGCAAACUUGGCUUUUUGGCAAGUUGUUUGGUGAGAAAGGACAAGAACCAAGAAGCACGCCAUCUACACCGGAGCCAGGCGCACAACACACGUGGUUCCGUGUGGGGCGUUCACCCUGGCGGGCCCAGUGCUGCACUACCAGUAUGGCAGCAGUCCUCGGAGCAGUGUGUGAGAGCCUCCACAGCAGCCCUGUCCAGCCCGGCUCCACUGUCCAUGCCCCCACUCCGGCCCCUGUGUGGCGGUCACCCCUCCAACAGGGUCUGGCUGUGCCCCUCCAGCACAGGCUGUGUCAGGAUGACUGCAUCAGGCCUGUCAGGCGCUUUCCCGUCAACGACUUGCCCUAGAAGCCAUGUGAAUUGAUCCAUGAGGAAGAAACAACAGAGUCCACCUGAGCAUCCUCGUAGCUGUAUCGUCCGGGGUCUUUGAGGUUCUGGCUGGUGCGCUCGUAGCUGUGAGAGUCCAGGUUGAUGGAGCUCGGCGCGCCCUCGGCCAGAAACUCCUGCCAGAUCUCCUGCGCCCUGGAGGACACUUCCUGGAGCGGCCGCCGCUUCAGAUCCUGCACUGCUAACCAGAACCUACAACAGCAUUGCAUCUAAAU